rnacentral:misc_RNA from 1 species
AAGUCGUAACAAGGUUUCCGUAGGUGAACCUGCGGAAGGAUCAUUAACAAUCUUUCAUGCAUCCAAAUCCUUGGAUGUUUAACCCCACAAACAGCGAACUGUUCUCUCGGGUCCAAGUGGGAAAACGUUGAUGGGCAAAUAGCGGUCUUCGGAUUGUCUAUUUGUUCUUUCCCUACAAAAAAGCUUGGCCCAUUAUGAGAGUUUUUUCUUUUUUCCCGAUUAACUUUUUUUUAACCCCAUGAAAAUUUCUGACUGAAACCUGUUAGUGCGCUAAUGCGCUCUGACGUAAUUCUUAAUGAAUUAACAACUCUUAACAACGGAUAUCUUGGCUCUC